AUAACCUGAAAAGUUAAAUUUUUUACCCUGACAGUAUUUAGUAGUCUGUAGAGAAAGAGAGACGGUGGGUGAAUUUAAAACUGCCUAAACUGAGGGCAACAUGAACUGGGUCGGAGGAUCUAGCAAAGGAUGAAAAGACAGUCAAAUAAUAUGGACUCAUCCAAAGAACACAACCCAAUAUGGAUCUUCUGACAUUAUUCAUAGUCAACCAGAUUGCAUCAAAGAAAUAGCAAACAGACAAACCAAAAACAAACCGUUUGACUGGUGUGAAAAGAACAAUAAAAGCUUUGAAAGAACCCUUAGAGUUACCAAUGAGCCCUAGUGCUUCAAACCUGAACCUAUAGUUACCAGUCAGCCACAGUACAGUAUUGAAACGCCUGGUUAUAAAGUCAGAAAACAUCAUCUUUCUGAAGAAUUCAAGUUCAAGCCGUGGCUCAGAAAAUCAACCGCAACCAUCCUCAACAUCUGCUGGGUCCUCAGAUCCAAUCCGACCCAAACCCUCACCACACACACCCUCUUCCCUGCCAACUCUGGGAAAUCCUAACAAUAUGAAGAAUACUCCUCAGACAGAAACGCAGAGGCGUGAUGGGAAUCUCCCAAUAACCUUGGAAACAGGGACACAAACAGGAGCUUUAUCUUACCAAGAUGUCUCAGUUCGGUGCUCACUUAUUCAUCACAGCAACUCUGUCCCUUUCCCCACUGCUGAUCAGAAAACCCACGUCUUUACCACAAGAACCGAAAACAGAGCAGUGGUGAGAAAGCAGGGUGAAAAUAGAAAAGUGUGACUACCCUCGGCUGGGAAGUGUGACGCGAAACCCUGUCAAGGACGUCAGGCGCGCAGGAGAUAAAGAAAUGAAGAGAUGAAGAACUUCACAGCAGAGAAAGGUGCGAACUGGGUCUCUACAGAGACUAAAAAAAAAAAAAACCUCAAGAAGUUGCUAACGUUGAAGCAGAGAAAGGAUUAGACCGUUAGCAGAAUUAAAUUUAGAAAAAUGGAUUGUUAGCUCAGUUCAGAUUUGAUGAAUGUGGGAUUGUAUACAGUAUGUUAUAUAUCUUUAUUAUUACCUCCAAGUACAUAUUCAAGUUUUCAAAGUUCAUAUAUUUAGUUUCAUAGAAUAUAAAUCUAGCAAAACAUAUACAGCAACAGUAAUCAAAUACUGUACAACACAACAUUUGUCGUCACUAGUUUCCAUCAACUGUAUAAACACUGCAUUUUGUUCCACAUACAAAAACAAAAGAAAAAUACAUCCAUACACUUAAAACAGAUGUGUUCAUUGGUAAUAACACAAAUGGCUGUCCAUGUUGGAGCACCUCCCAAGUACAAUCUAAAAUUCAAAUAUAUCUGGCACACAUGAAACCUCUAAAUUACAUCAUACAUGUAGACUCAAACUCAUUGACUUUUCUAAUGUCUCUAUUCAGACCCUAGGUGAAGGAAUUUUUUGUUGUU
ensembl:lncRNA